GCUUGUCUCAAAGAUUAAGCCAUGCAUGUCUAAGUAUAAACGAUUUUAUACGUGAAACUGCGAAUGGCUCAUUAUAUCAGUUAUAGUUUAUUUGAUGGUCCUUACUAUUUGGAUAACCGUAGUAAUUCUAGAGCUAAUACAUGCAUAAAACCCUAACUUCUGGAAAGGGUGUAUUUAUUAGAUGGAAACCAAUGCGGGGUAACCCGGAAUAUGGUGAUUCAUAAUAACUUUCGGAUCGAUUUAUCGAUGCAUCAUUCAAGUUUCUGCCCUAUCAGCUUUGGAUGGUAGGGUAUUGGCCUACCAUGGCUUUAACGGGUAACGGAGAAUUAGGGUUCGAUUCCGGAGAGGGAGCCUGAGAAAUGGCUACCACAUCCAAGGAAGGCAGCAGG
rnacentral:rRNA from 1 species